rnacentral:rRNA from 1 species
UUGACCUCAAAUCGGGUGGGACUACCCGCUGAACUUAAGCAUAUCAAUAAGCGGAGGAAAAGAAACUAACAAGGAUUCCCCUAGUAACGGCGAGUGAAGAGGGAAAAGCUCAAAUUUUGAAUCUGGUGUCUUUGGCGCCCGAGUUGUAAUCUAGAGAAGUGUUUUCCGCGUUGGACCGUUCACAAGUUUUCUGGAAUGAGGCUUCAUAGAGGGUGAGAAUCCCGUAUCUGGAACGGACUACCAAUGCUCUGUGAUACACUCUCAACGAGUCGAGUUGUUUGGGAAUGCAGCUCAAAAUGGGUGGUAAAUUCCAUCUAAAGCUAAAUAUUGGCGAGAGACCGAUAGCGAACAAGUACCGUGAGGGAAAGAUGAAAAGCACUUUGGAAAGAGAGUGAAACAGUACGUGAAAUUGUUGAAAGGGAAGCGUUUGAAGUCAGUCAUAUCUGUCGGGAUUCAGCUUGGCUUUUGCCUUGUGUACUUUCCGUCCGAUGGGUCAGCAUCAAUUCAGACCGAGGGAAAAGGGCGUUUGGAAUGUGGCUGUCUUCGGGCAGUGUUAUAGCCUCGCGUUGUAUGUCUCGGUUGGGAUUGAGGAACGCAGCGCGCCACUUAAUUGGCCGGGGGUUAAGUCCUCUCGUAUCGCGCUUAGGAUGCUGG